rnacentral:rRNA from 1 species
AUUGAACGCUGGCGGCAGGCCUAACACAUGCAAGUCGAACGAGUGGCGGACGGGUGAGGAGUUUCUGGGCAACUGCCUGAUGUAGGGGGAUAACUACUGGAAACGGUAGCUAAUACUGCAUACCAUUGGAUGGGCCCAUAGGGGAUUAGCUAGUAGGUGAGGUAAAGGCUCACCUAGGCGACGCUCCCUAGCUGGCCUGAGAGGGUGACCGGCCACACUGGGACGGAGACACGGUCCAGACUCCUACGGGAGGCAGCAGUAGGGAAUAUUGGACAAUGGACGCAAGCCUGAUCGAGCCACGCCGCGUGUAUGAAGAAGGCCUUCGGGUUGUAAAAUUCUGUCAGCGGAGAAGCGGUACCCACAGAAGAAGCACCGGCUAACGCCGUGCCAGCAGCCGCGGUAAUUC